ensembl:ncRNA lncRNA:CR44505 long non-coding RNA:CR44505
GCUUAUUUUAAAAUUCCGAGCAGGCGUAGUUUCAUUUUUGACACCCGGCAUUCGUCGCCGGUCCCCCAAAACCGAUGUUCCCCAUCCGUUCCUUUUUUAGGGAUCUGCCGCACGUUGUUGCCAUUGUCACGCACACACGUACUAUAUUUUUUACGCGCAUAUCAUAUUACACCCUCCAAACACACAGGGACAUUCCCUUGCCUUAAAGGACCCUCCGACCAACCGACCAGCCAACCAACCAACCCCUUUCCCAACUGGGGAUGCUACGGGGAUCCAUCGAGGUUUGGGGACCCAGUCGAAGUAAAUAGAAUCACCAAGGUAACGCCGCUCUAAAAGCCAACCAACCACCUUACACAUACCCCAUCUGCGGUGUUGGGUGAAAAUUUUAAUUGAGAUCUCCGCUAUUUGAUAGCAACGAGGAACUAUUCGCCCGAAAUUGAUGUGGCCGCUGAUGCUGAUGGGGCCACUCGAAUGGUUGGUUUUGAAUGCAAAAUGCGUCGUCGGAUAUAGUUUUGAGUGCUCAGAUAAGGUGGCAUAUAUAAUUAGCUGCCCCAUUUGGCAUUAUGCGACAUUUGUGUGUUUCAAGUUUCCCCCGAUAGUUUGUGUAAUGUGAGUCAUUCAUUUGAUAAAGUCAUA